AGCAGCCGCGGUAAUUCCAGCUCCAAUAGCGUAUAUUAAAGUUGUUGCAGUUAAAAAGCUCGUAGUUGAAUUUCGGAAUCGAUGGAUCGGUCACGCCAUUCGGUGUGUACUGGUUUAAUUGGUUCUCACCUUCUAAGGAACCGUGAUGUCAUUAAUUUGGUGUCGCGGGGAAUUAGGACUGUUACCUUGAAAAAUUUAGAGUGUUUAAAGCAAGCUCACGCUUGAAUACAUUAGCAUGGAAUAAUGAAAUAGGACAUUGUAUUCUAUUUUGUUGGUUUCUAGGAUCGAUGUAAUGAUUAAUAGGGAUAGUUGGGGGCAUUAGUAUUCAAUUGUCAGAGGUGAAAUUCUUGGAUUUAUUGAAGACUAACUACUGCGAAAGCAUUUGCCAAGGAUGUUUUCAUUAAUCAAGAACGAAAGUUAGGGGAUCGAAGACGAUCAGAUACCGUCGUA
rnacentral:rRNA from 1 species